rnacentral:tRNA from 1 species
GUUCAGAAAGUACAUAGGACAGAGGUCUUCUAAACCUUUGGUAUAGGUUCAAAUCCUAU